UACGUAGGUGGUAAGCGUUGUCCGGAUUUAUUGGGUUUAAAGGGUGUGUAGGCGGUUUUCUAAGUCAGCAGUGAAAUACGGCAGCUCAACUGUCGAGGUGCUGUUGAUACUGGGGAACUUGAGUACUGAUGAGGUAGGCGGAAUGGACGGUGUAGCGGUGAAAUGCUUAGAGAUCGUCCAGAACACCGAUAGCGAAGGCAGCUUACUAAGGAGUAACUGACGCUGAGGCACGAAAGUGUGGGGAUCAAACAGG
rnacentral:rRNA from 1 species